AAAAAGUUCGACGUCUGAUUGCUUUCCAUGUGAUGUUUUGAGUACACUUUUGGAUUUUCGCAUAAAAUUUACAUUUUAUGUGGCGCGUUGCGUUUAUUUACUACCUACCGCCAAAAGCCACUUAGCAUUCCAAUGAUAGGUAAAAGCUCUAAGUAGCUGUAGGCCUAUGAAACCACCUAGGAUUCACGAUUCAAUCGUGGAUUAUCACAAUAUUAUUUGGAAGAAGCAAAAAAUGAAGUGAAGAGAAAAAAGUGAAGAAUGAUAUUAAGUGUCACUGUGAAAUCGAACUUUAUAUGUUACUAGAGAAUGAAUUGAAGUGUGUUUGGGAUAUAUUAAGUGUCACUGUGAAGUCAGACUGAAUAUAUUACAAGGUAAUUUUCUGUUCUCCAAUAUUCAGUCAAUACAUAACAUGAAUCAGUCUUGAAUCUCAUAUAACACGAAUCGAUCUCGAAUCUCAUAUAGCUUGAAUGAGAUUUAUAUUCUGAUUCUUGUGCAUUUUUAUAUUCUUAAAAUUGCUAAUUUAGUAAAAUUUUAUAAAGAAAUGCAAAACAAAUUCUAACAGUUUAACUUAUAAAAAAUAAAAGUUAUACCUUAGAUGUAGUGAUAAAUAAAGUGAUAGGCAUUAGGGUGUAAUCUGAGAUUCUGAUAAAAGCUGUCUGCUGCUGUAGACCAGUAGCAAAAAGAUUGUGCAUGAUUUAUGAUCCAGACUUAUCCAGUACCAGAGACACAGUACUGUACCAGAAGGAAGAGCAAGAUGCUGAGGUUAUGCAGAAAGAACCUCGAAUCCUUUCAUUUGAGGUUCAAAGAAAGAGAAACCCUGUGAGAAAGUGGUAUGUUUUAAACUGUAUAUAAAGAACGCAUGUGCAGGGAUUGCUUUGUUAACACAUCUACAUCUUCCAAGUGCAUCUGUAAAUUUCCAUUUAACCCUCUGUGUUCUAACCACCCUAUUGUAAUCCUAACUUAAUAAAUGUGUGUGUCCACAAA